rnacentral:misc_RNA from 1 species
GACAAGAUAGGGUGCUCCGGCACCAAAUGUGGCACUCAUCGCUUGGUUACACUUUAGACGGGUAAGGGGCGUCACAAAAAGCAAGCCAGAUGAACUCAUCUUUAUUUGAAACAUAAGGUACAGGAUACCACAAGAAAAUAGGACUAUAGGCCAACAAGCUAACAAACCAAUAUAUAGAGGUUGCACCAAAGACCUAGUCCAAGGAAUAACAGAGAAAGCAACUUCAGGCUAUCCACUGCAUACAAAGCAGAGGAAGAGUUUAUUUUUUAUCACACUUUUUAUUUAUUAUAACCCACAUAAUUAAGCAUACUUAAUUGGUGCCAUUCUCAGAAGCAUCAUCGCUUGGAGGAUCUGGAAUAUAAUCAUUCAGCUUCCAGAACCCUAUGUCAAUCUGAAUCAUGCCUUUGUUGGGCACAUUACUCCACCAUUUCGGUGGCACCUUACGAUCAUCCGUUAAAAGAUCGUUAUGUUUAUUCACCAGUGCAAUAUCAAGAUCAGUAAUGACCAAGUUGAAAGCUGCAUUCUUCCCUUGGUAACCUGCAACUCCAUGAAGAUAAAGGUUCAAAUCAUGUGCUUCUGCGAUACUCUCAUGCUUUAUGGAUGGUGAUUUGGUGGUGUCAAUGUACAGCUCCACACCAACAUCUUCGUAGGGAAAGAUUAUCGGAACAGGUACUGGAAGAUCAGGAACAAUAUCCUUAUUAUUUUUCAAGCGUAACAGAUGAAGGUCGCUCAGUCCAGUGAACACUUCGCGGAAAGCUUUGUCUCCAACGCGGGGGCUCGCAUAAACAAAGGCAGUGACCGGAUAUACAGUCUCUGAUCCACUUGGCUUGUUAUAGCCAUUGGCAGCUAUGUCCAUCGCGUUAAGGGUUGCAAGGGCUGCACCCAAGCUGUGGCCAGUUACAGUUAUGCUCACUUCCUCGUUUAAUUCUGCGUACUUGUCCACAAGUCUCCUAACCGCUCCUAGAACCUGCUCUCUGGCGCUAGUCUUAUUGUAUGUGGAAUCUGAAUCUUUGGUUGCGUAGAUACCGUGGAAACCAUGGUGCACCUUAGCUUUGGUGUUAGGAAAUAUAUCAGAAGCUGAGGUUAAAGUGCAGUCAAAAUCUUUGAACCAUUCGAUUUUCAAGACAGUCCCUCUCCAGCAGACCACAAUGUCCCUUCUUCCUAGAGCAAGCUUCCCUUCAUCUGUGGCUACAGCAACGAACCCAAAAUAAGCAGAUCGCUUAGCAGGGGUCCAUUCACUAAAAUGGAUUUCUGAUCUCCCAUAAAAGUAGUCAGUCACUUGGUAUUUGAAGGGAUUCCCAAGUUGUAUGCCUGUCCGAGUGAAGUAUGCCUCUGGCGGAUAUCGGCAAAGUGCAUAUGCAUCAGAUACCUUCACGUCAUUGAAGGCAUCACCAACAGUUCCAGUUAAUUGACCAUAGCGAAUGAGAUAGCGGCGGAGAUUAUCGUCAAUAGGGUCUAAAAGAUCCUCCCAGUUUUUCUCCCCACUAAGAACUUUCCAGUUUGUUGCUAUGUCGUUUGCCAUUUCUCUUUCUUGUUUUCUCUCUUGCAAAGUCUUAUGUAUGCUUUGCAUUUUUGAGUGU